rnacentral:rRNA from 1 species
UACAGAGGGGGCAAGCGUUGUUCGGAAUUACUGGGCGUAAAGAGCUCGUAGGUGGUUUGUCGCGUUGUUCGUGAAAACUCACAGCUUAACUGUGGGCGUGCGGGCGAUACGGGCAGACUGGAGUACUGCAGGGGAGACUGGAAUUCCUGGUGUAGCGGUGGAAUGCGCAGAUAUCAGGAGGAACACCGGUGGCGAAGGCGGGUCUCUGGGCAGUAACUGACGCUGAGACGCGAAAGCGUGGGGAGCAAACAGG